AGCCGCCACCCGCCAGGCGUUAACGCUCGACGGGACCCCGUCGUCUUAAACUCCGCAAGCGCUGCCAGCGGCCGCCCCCGCCGCGUGCUUCCGCCGUCCUCGGUGCCUCGGCCGCCUGGUCCCCACCGGUCCUUCCCCUUCCUCAAUCGGCGGCCGGCGGCUCCCGUAGCCUUGCCGCGCGCGUUAGAUUUUUCCUACCAAAUACCAUACCAGUACCAAGCCCCUAGCCACACAGUUUUAUAGCCCGAUGUAUAUUCAUUUUUCAGCUAUUUUGCUACGCGUUUGUCUUGAAUAGUUGAAUCGGUGUUGAUUGAAUGAUUUUGUCUUUAGAACGGCAGUCAUUCGCUUGAUUUUUCCUACACACAAGUGUACGCCUUUGUUGAAUCGAUGGCUUUUGUUUUGGUUAGCUCGCACCAUUAGCCCCCUGCUCUCUUGAGGUUGGAUGCAGGGAAAAAUGCGAGAAGGUUACCGGUGCCAGAUUCAUGGACCGGGCAGGGGCUCUAUACUUCUGGGGAAGCCAGUAAAUUUCCUCAGGGUCAUAUCUUCUGUCCACAUUGCAUCAUCUUGAUGCUGUUGACCUGUUGUCUUUGUUGUAUUAUUCACAUAUUUUCGUUGAUUCGCAUGUGUUCUUCAUCAAUUUCAUUUUAUUGAGUAAUUAAGCUCUGUCACAUGGUUAGAAGCGACAUGAGGAGACUGAAACAUCUGAAAGUUUUCAUGUGGAUAAUACACAUAUAUGGUCUUCAAAGUUCUCUGAUCGCUUCAUGUCCAAAGCUUUUCUUUCAUGUGAAAGCUUUUGAAUUAUGCCAUCUGAAUUUGGCCUUAGUGAUGCUUGGGUCUGAACUGUAGCCAUCUGAAUAUGACCUUAGUGAUGCUUGAGUCUUAACUGUAGUGUUUAAGUCGUUGAGAAACAACAUGAGGAGGUCAUACAUUCUGAAGUAUCUGAUGUUGAUACAUACAUUCAUGGUCUUCAAAGUUCUCUGAUUGUUUCCUUUACCCACUCCUUAUCCAAAUGAUACUUUGUUACGUUCAUUUUUUCUCUCCUUGAAUCAUAGCUUCAAAUUUCUAAGUUAUAUGUCUUGCCAAGUUUUUGAGAUGCAACGAAGCAAAAUGAGGAGUUCAUAUGAUCUGAAGUAUCUAUGUUUGUUGAUAUAUCCAUUUGUGGUCUUCAAAGUUCUCUGAUUGCUUUGUCCACCACUUCACCCCAUGCUGCAUUGUCUUUAUUCAAAUCAUAUUUCUCCAUCUUCAUUUUUCUGUGUGUAUUGCUAUAGCUUUACAGCAUUUCUUAGUUAUGCUUGAACAAAUUUUAUUGGAAUUUAAGAUGUCAAAAGAAGCAAAAUGAGGAGGCUGUAUUAUCUGAAGUAUCUCUUGUUGAUACAGUAUUCAUGGUCUUCAAAGUUCUUUGUUUCCUUUGAAAUAUUAUUCUAUUAAAGCAUAGCAGUUUAUACUUUCCAGCCUGGAAUACUAUUCAAAUAAUUUUUGCACGAGUUCUUUAUGAAUUAACAUAUUGGCAUGAUUGCCUAAUGCAUCUCUUCGUCUAAAGCAAAAUUGUGGUGACACCUAAUUGUGAUGGUCUCGCUGUCAAAAUAUGAUCUUGAUUCUUAAAGGUUGUGUCCUCAGCCUGAGAGGGACUGUAAGAGAGUCGCGGCAUGGGAUUGCUGGCAGGGCGGUCACAGCCUCAACGAGUGCUCGGCGUCAACGGCAAUGAGCGAGUAGAGGCACGCUCGAAUAGGAAGCUCAACACGGAGAAGGAGACAGGUGCUGCUCAGCGAGGCCUUCGGUGACGGCUGCGAGACGUCGUGGCGCGCGAAGAACGAUCGCGGACAGAAACAAUGGCGAGGUGGCUGUGUGCACGUUCGGGCGGAGCCAGUGCGUCCGGCUGAGGGGAGAAAAGGGCGAGCUGCCACCCUACUUAUAGGGAGAGGAGAGGGGAAGAAAUCCUGCUGAAUCAUCAUAAAAUCACGGCAAAAUUUGAAGCUUCCAAGUUCUUGCCGUUAAUGGCGGAGAGAAGAAAGGAAAGGAAAUCCGCGAGCAGGGAAAGGGAAACCAGAGAGGAAGAGAAGGAAAUCGAGGGUGGCGGCGUGCUCUCCACGACGAAGGGAGGACGGCAACAAGGGAAGGCGAGCACGCGACCGAGAGUUUGUCGCUGCAUGCGGCGGCGGUGCACAGUGCUGCGAGUGCCGACAUCGAGUAGCAACGGUAUGUUGAAUAAUUAGACAAUUUUGAGAUUAAA